rnacentral:lncRNA from 1 species
AAACAUCCUCUGCCUAAGGACAGGGAAUGAAAAAGGGCCACUGGGGGUCAGGCCUAAGUUUUACCAGACCUCGUGUUUUCUCCCAGCGUUGACAAAAUCUGUUCCCUGGCAGAGAGUACAAGAAAAGAGUGGGGCCUUUCCAAUAGGAAAAUGUAAAGGUAAGGCAAGGCCUUAGUUACUCCAUGAGUUCAUCAUACAGAACCACACAGCCUGAACACCUGACCUUUGAGCAUCCAGACUUCUUGUCAGUCAACCUCCUGUGCUGACUAGUACAGUUCAGGGCACACCAAGCACCGCUUCCCGGGGACUCUAUGAACAACAUUGCUCCAGCUCUGCUAUCUAUGGCUUCCUUCAACACAAUCUCAGCAGGCUUUGUACGCUCUGGUACUACAUGCUUUCAGUAACUUGCCUUAAUUUUACUCUUCUUGAAAAACUGCAGAGAAGAAAACCUGGAGACAAAAUUUCUAAAUAAAAGGUAAUAAACAGUCAAAAAUAAACAGUUGUAUUCCAACACAAUGAAGUAUAAAAACACCACAGAUGCUGUAUCUGGAGGCCAGAGGAUGUGUAGCAGCACAGAAGAGCUCUAUGGCCAAGAGCUAUGGAGCAUCAGUUGGCCAGUCCGACCUGAAGAGAAAUACAGCCAUAAAGAACGCAGACAUGAACUAGGCUAUGCCAGGAGGCUUUAGGGCCAAAGUCCUCAUGCUGGCCAUCGACUGUUUAGUAAAGGCAUAGUCAAACAUGCUUAAAACCUUCGUGUGAAUGAGAAUUAGAAUCAGCUGUAUUUAAGUGCCAGUCCCUUAUUAAAGUAACCAGGCAACUCCAAAAAAUGACGAAGGCGGUCUUGUUGAUGGAAAGCAUAAAUAUGAUAGAGUAAAUUCUUAAACGUGGUCUCAUUCUAAUACUAGUUUGCAAUGACGGUGCUUUAAUGCUGGUUAGAAAAUGCCAAACUUCUUCUGAUACCCUUCCAGCAUUGAGCAAUUAGAUCCCACAUGAAGUCCCACCUUCUGAUCGGAAGCUAUUUUAGAAGCCUACUGAGCCCACAGCUGACAAGGUUUGAGAAAAUAUUUGGAACACUGAGAAACCUCCACCCUUCUGAGAAUUCCCAGUUCCCAGAAUGUCUCAUGUUUGUAGCAAUUUUAUUUAUUGUCAUGAAGUUUAAAUGAUGGGAAAUGGACAAUAUAAAUUCUUGCAUUGCAUUACAACCACGUGUACUUUACUGAAAGCUUUGUUUGACAGGAUGAGCACAUUUGGCCAGAUCACAUACGUGUGUUAAUUAUAGUAAGGACAACAAAAUGGCAAUAGUUAUAGCAAGUCCAACCAACAGGAAAUGGUUAUCAAGCUGUGAUAAAGUGUUUAUCAGGAAAUGUUGUUACACUAUCCAAAACAUUUCCUGUCUGCAACUGUUUUUUUGUGUAAGAAAAUAAUGUAUGUGGUGCUAGAAAUAGCAUUUUUUUGCAAGGAAUUGAAUAACAGUACUUAUAGAAAAUCAUAGUAGUCACACUUCUUGUUUGCGUUGUUUCCCUCUUUGUGCAAGCUGUGAAGUAACUUCUAAGAAGCUAACAAGCUAAGUACCAAGAAAACUUAAAAAGAAACCUUCAGAAUUAACCUGGGCAUUUGUUACAUACAAGGAUCAUAAACACAGGCUUCAAAUAUUAAACAGUAAUUUAAAGCUAGUUUUUCAUAUGUAAUAUCUCAGCAUUGUAAUCAUGCAGGUAGCAAAGCUGUGGUUUUUUGUUUUUUUUCUCAUCAGGACAGACAGUAAAAUAUUAUUUAUGCUGGCACAUACAGGUUGCUCUGAAAGUAAUGCCUCAUAUUUACAUUACUGGGAACUACAAAAGAUACAAAGAGUACAAUGACAAUAUUUGAUAGAGCGAAUCCUCAGCUACAACACAGUCACCACCACGAACUAUACAUGCACAGCAAUGCACAAGAGCCUGCAUGCCAUGCUUGUAAAAAUCUGCACCAGCAGAGGUGACCCACUGUCGCUGCUACCACUGCUGAAACACACCACCCACCACCUCACUGUGCUCAUAUCCACUGCCUGGGCUCCAUAAACGUUCAGCAAGCAUCAACCAAUAUCAAUGGGCACCGUUUUUUCCACAUGGAGGAAUUCAGCGACACAUCUCUGCUUCAUAAGCACUUCCAUGUCAGAUGCCAUUCUGUCAGACUGUUCCUCUGCUGCCAUCUGUCAAACAGCAACAACACGUUAACGGGAUACUGGUAGAAGGUUCAACAUCUUACAGUUGUUAUUUCAUUUAACCUCAGUCCAUUUCUCUUCAUUUUAAAGCCCCCUACUUAUUCAGUCCUUUCCCAAGUUUGUUUUACAUUGAGUUUAACUUUCGAUGAUCUUUCUGUUGGUUAUCAAUGUCAACUUUUCCAAUUAAAGGUAUUUUUUGGGCAUGGGGUAAACUUAGCAAGGAUAAAUGUAUUAAUAUAGAAACAGAUAGAAAAUAAAUUUGCUUUAUC